UGGGGAAUAUUGCACAAUGGGCGCAAGCCUGAUGCAGCAACGCCGCGUGAACGAUGAAGGUCUUCGGAUCGUAAAGUUCUGUUGCAGGGGAAGAUAAUGACGGUACCCUGUGAGGAAGCUCCGGCUAACUACGUGCCAGCAGCCGCGGUAAUACGUAGGGGGCUAGCGUUAUCCGGAUUUACUGGGCGUAAAGGGUGCGUAGGUGGUCCUUCAAGUCGGUGGUUAAAGGCUACGGCUCAACCGUAGUAAGCCGCCGAAACUGGAGGACUUGAGUGCAGGGGAGGAAAGUGGAAUUCCCAGGGUAGCGGUGAAAUGCGUAGAUAUUGGGAGGAACACCAGUAGCGAAGGCGGCUUUCUGGACUGCAACUGACACUGAGGCACGAAAGCGUGGGUAGCAAACAGG
rnacentral:rRNA from 1 species